CAAAAAUAUAUACAAUAGAUCUUGUUACUAUAUCAAAAAAAUAUUUAGCUGACUGUAAUAACUCAAUUGCCACUAAAAUAUGUUUUUAUAUAGCGUCAUUGAAUUCAAUGAUAAUUAAUUAAUGCCAAUUAAAACUUUAGUCCUUUUUAUUAAAAUGUAUAUUUAUCGUCUCUAAAAGUCUUUUUAUCUUCAUCUUCAGUAGGUAAAGCGUUUUCAUUAUAGUAACUUCUAGUAACUUCUCUUUUUCUUUCUUUUAUAUUUUAGUUAUUGACUCUUAGUCAACCUUGUUGGUCUUUAUAAUCUUUAUUCCAAACUUUUUCUCCUUUAUAUUCUAUGAUUGUACGAAAUAAAUUCUUUUUCUAUGAAAGCUUUCUUCUAUUUCAUUGGAGCUUUAAUUUUUGCUACAUUAACUUUCAUCAUUUUUGUUGAAUGCAGCAGUAGAAUAUAUAACAUAAAGUAAUUCAAAGAUCAUAAUCUAACAAUAAGAAGAAGAUAUACAAAGGUGAAGAAUAUGGCAAAUACUACAAAGAAGAAAGCUGAGAAAACAAUUCCUGGCUUAGUGGAUUUGGUGUUUUCAUGGUCUUUAAAAGAUGUGUUGAACAAAGAUCUUUACAAAGACAAGGUAAAAGAAAUUCCGGAGACAUUCAUGUCGAUUGAUCAUUACUUGAAGUCAUACAUUACACCACUAGUCGAAGAAACACAUGCCGAUUUGCUCUCAAAUGUGUCAACAGUAUCACGAGCCCCUGCUCUUGAGGUUUUUGAUGUUAAAAUAUCGAAAGAUUUUAAGCCUCCGAAGGGUUUGUAUUACAAUAUUUUGUUGAAACGAACUAAGGAGGAGGAAGAGGAAGACGAAGAUAAGAGGGAGUUAAAAAAUGAAUCGAAAUAUGAACCUGAAGUUGGCGAUCUUAUUGCGAUUACAGAUGUGAAACCAAGAAGAAUCGAAGAUUUGAAUAGGCCUAAGAGAUCUUACGCCAUCGCUAUAGUUCAAGGCAUGAAAGAUGAAGGUUCGGGGAGGAUACCUAUCUUGUCUUCGCAACUUAUUCCAUUUAAGAAACCGGACAGGGAAAAUGGCGAACAAGGGGACAAGCUUUUUAUUGUUUAUCUUUCUAAUUUGACAACAAACAUGCGAAUAUGGAGCGCGUUGAAUUCAGACCUGGAAAAUUCGAACUUGAAGAUCAUUGAGACUGUUCUGGAAAGUGAUUCUCCGAAUGUUGGUGAGGUAGAUUGCUCCAUUUGCUCCGUUGGAGAAACUAAAAGUAAUAUUGCUAUAUCAAGUUCAAGAGCCAUCGCUCAGUUGUUUGAGCUAGAUAAUGCUCAACAAGAGGCUGUGGUAAGUUGUGUUGCUACAAGAGAAUGUACUCACCGGAAUAUGGUUAAGCUGAUUUGGGGACCUCCGGGAACUGGAAAGACGAAAACCGUUGCCUCUUUGCUUUAUGUCUUGUUAAAGAUGAGAUGCAGAACUUUGACUUGUGCGCCCACGAACAUUGCCGUGUUGGGAGUUACCAAGAGGCUGAUGCAGAAUGUACAAAGUUGUCUGCAAUACGACACGUAUGGUUUUGGAGACAUUGUCUUAUUUGGUAACGGGGAGAGAAUGAAGAUCGAUGAUCAUGAAGAUUUGUUUGAUGUAUUUCUUAAGAACCGUGUUGAUGCUCUUGCUAGUUGCUUGUCUCCGAAUAAUGGGUGGAGAAUUGGUAUACAAUCCAUGAUAUGUUUGCUCGAGGAUCCUGAAGAGCUAUACCGCAAGUACUUAGAAAAACAAAAGAAGAAGGACGAUGACAGUGAUGAUAAUGAGGAUACCGAUGAUGAAGAGGAGGAAGAAAAAGGAAGCGAUACUAGUCAAGAAUCUAGUACGAGCAAUGAUCAAGGGCUUGACAAAAAUAAGAAGAGUAAGUUGUGGAAGAAAUUUGUCGUUGAAACAUUAAAAGAGAACAAGAAGAAAGAUAAAGAAAAUUCUCGGAGGGAGAACAAAUCCAGAGCAGCUGACAAAGUGAACAAGGUCAAGAACAAAGGGGAGGUGAGCAGCAAAGAAGCCGUUGUGUGGACAUUUGAUGAAUUUGUCAACAAAAGAUUCAAAUGGAUCCAGAACCAGUUAAGAUUUUGCCUAACGAGCUUGUACACGCAUCUACCUACUUCUGUCAUUUCACUCGAAGUAGCUAAGGAAAUGAUCAGACUACUCGAGAUGCUUCAAACUCUUGGUAAAUUGUUUGCUACUGUGGAACCUUCUGAAGGAUUAAGAGAAAUUCUUCCGGGAUUUGUUACUAGGAGUAAGACGAGACUUUCAAAUAUUCAUUCAAGAAAAACAGAAUGCAUAAAAGUGUUGAAGUUUCUUAACGAGAGUAUCUCUAUUCCGAAUUUCAUUGAGGACUACCAAAUUCAAAGUUUUUGUCUGAAAGGUGCAUGCUUGAUUUUCUGCACGGCUUCUAGCUCGAUUAAGUUGCACACAGAAGGAAUGACACCACUGGAGAUGGUGGUAAUCGAUGAAGCUGCUCAGCUGAAAGAAUGUGAAUCCACUAUUCCGUUACAACUCCCUGGUCUCCGCCAUGCUAUACUCAUCGGAGAUGAGAAACAAUUGCCCGCUAUGGUUCAAAGCAAGAUCUGCGAGAAGGCUGAGUUCGGUAGGAGCUUAUUCGAGAGGCUAGUAAUUCUAGGACACAAGAAGCACCUUCUUAAUGUUCAAUAUCGAAUGCACCCGAAAAUAAGUUUGUUCCCUAAUAGAGAGUUCUAUCACAAGAAAAUUAUGGAUGGCCCUAAUGUGAAAUCAGCAGCAUACGAGAAGAGAUUUCUUACGGGAGAUAUGUUUGGCUCCUAUUCGUUUAUUAAUGUAAGUAGCGGAAAUGAGGAGCUUGAUGACAAACACAGCACGAGCAAUAAGGCAGAAGCUUUCGUUGUAGCUGAGAUAGUGGCUAAUCUUCAUAAAGAAUAUGUCUCUUCAAAACAAAAGGUCCGUGUUGGUUGUAUAUCUCCUUACAAGGCUCAAGUUUUGGCUAUUCAACAAAUUCUUGGCAAGAAAUAUAGCACUGAUGUUAAGAGUGACUUCUCUGUGAAUGUACGAUCUGUUGAUGGUUUUCAAGGCGGUGAAGAGGAUGUUAUAAUUAUCUCUACUGUUCGUUGUAACGGCAGUGGAUCAGUUGGUUUUCUGUCGAAUCUUCAAAGAGCAAAUGUUGCAUUGACACGAGCAAGAUACUGUCUUUGGAUAUUGGGAAAUGGUUCAACGUUGGUUAACAGUGGUUCCGUAUGGAAGAAUCUAGUCGUUGAUGCCAAGGCUCGUGGUUGUUACUUUGAUGUUACUGACGACAACAGAUUGAAUCAGGCAAUUUUGAAUGCAAACAUUGAACUUGACAAGCUCGAAACAUUACUCAGAACGGACUCUCCUAUAUUCGAAUCAGCCCAGUGGAAGGUCAUGUUUAGUGAGGAUUUCACAAAAUCUAUUGCGAGAAUUAAGGAUGCUGAGAUAAGUAAGGAAGUGAUUUCCCUUUUGGUGAAGCUUUCGAGUGGUUGGCGUAAGUCAGAAAAGAACAGCAAGUUCAGCAACAAAGGCGGGAAUUCUUCUGUAAUGUUGGAGGUGUACUGUGUCAAUCAACUAAAACUGAUUUGGACCGUAGAUAUUCUGCAGCAGAACUCGUCAUACGUUCAAGUAUUAAAGAUCUGGAACAUCAUACCUGGAUAUCUUAUACCAAAGUUGGCAAAGGGCCUUGACGUUCAUUUUGGCCAAUAUACAGUGGAUAUGCUGAAUCGUUGCAAAUACAAACGUGUGGAACGAAACUUUGUAUUUCCAAUGACUUGGCCGAUUAAUGGUAAUGUUGUCUCAACAACAAGCUCGUCUAAGAACAGCCGAGACAACAACUUGGCACGCCAAUUGGCAGCUAUGAGUUUGAAGGAUAAACCAGGAUCUUCAAGAAGUUCCAAAAGUCGAAGAUGAAGCUAGGAGAACUUGUCCGCGAAGUAAAACCAAAUCUACUCGCUGAAGAUUUUAUGGAACGAUAUAUGCGCAACAAGUCCAAAUAGGAGGCCUUACAAUGCUAAUAUAACCAUUGCAUAAUACAGUUUUUUGCUUGGAAAGCUUGGAUUCUUGGUGCUAUCACUGCCUUCAUCGUGUUAAAACCGGGUUCACUGUCUUCUUUUGAUGAUGAUAUCUGAUUCUUGAAUAUGUUUGAAUGAAUUUUUGAGAUGCAACAUAUCCAAGAGUACUGUAAUUAAUAGAUACAAUAUUUUUGAAGUUAUUCAGUUGAUAUAUAGCAAUGGUUAAUUUAUAUAUAUAUAACUCUUAUGAUCUUAAUA